rnacentral:rRNA from 1 species
GACGAACGCUGGCGGCGUGGAUUAGGCAUGCAAGUCGAACGGUAUCAUCCUUUCGGGGGUGAGAGAGUGGCGAACUGGUGAGUAACACGUAGGUUAUCUACCCUCAAGACGGGGACAACCCAGGGAAACUUGGGCUAAUACCGGAUGUGGGCAACUUUUAGUUGUUUGAAAGGUGGCGUAAGCUGUCGCUUGGGGAUGAGCCUGCGUCCUAUUAGUUAGUUGGUGAGGUAACGGCUCACCUAGGCAAUGAUAGGUAGGCGGCCUUAACGGGUGGUCGCCCACACUGGGAUUGAGAUACGGCCCAGACUCCUACGGGAGGCAGCAGUGAGGAAUAUUGGACAAUGGAUGGAAAUCUGAUCCAGCCAUGCCGCGUGCAGGAAGACAGCCCUAUGGGUUGUAAACUGCUUUUAUAUGGGAGCAAUAAGGUCUACGUGUAGACUGAUGAGAGUACCAUAUGAAUAAGCAUCGGCUAACUCCGUG